GAUGAACGCUGGCGGCGUGCCUAAUACAUGCAAGUCGAGCGAACAGAUGAGGAGCUUGCUCCUCUGACGUUAGCUGCGGACGGGUGAGUAACACGUGGAUAACCUACCUAUAAGACUGGGAUAACUUCGGGAAACCGGAUCUAAUACCGGAGAAUAUAUUGAACCGCAUGGUUCAAUAGUGAAAGACGGUGUUGCUGUCACUUAUAGAUGGAUCCGCGCCGCAUUAGAUAGUUGGGAAUGUAACGGCUUACCAAGGCAACGAUGGGUAGCCGACAUGAGAGGGUGGUUGGCCAGCCGGGAAGAGAGAAAGGGCCCAGACACCUAGGGGGGGCAGCAGUCGGGAAUCCUACGCAAUGGAGGAAAGCCUGACGGAGCAACGCGGCGGGAGUGAUGAAGCAGCUAGGAUCGGAAAAUUCUGUUAUUAGGGAAGAACAAAUGUGUAAGUAACUAUGAACGUAUUGACGGUACCUGAUCAGAAAGCCACGGCUAACUACGUG
rnacentral:rRNA from 1 species